rnacentral:rRNA from 1 species
UACGAAGGGUGCAAGCGUUACUCGGAAUUACUGGGCGUAAAGGGCGCGUAGGCGGCACGGCAAGUCAGGAGUGAAAGCCCUGGGCUCAACCCGGGAACUGCUUUUGAAACUGCCGAGCUAGAGUGCGGAAGGGGCAACUGGAAUUCCCAGUGUAGCGGUGAAAUGCGUAGAUAUUGGGAAGAACACCUGAGGCGAAGGCGGGUUGCUGGGCCGACACUGACGCUGAUGCGCGAAAGCCAGGGGAGCGAACGGG